AGUGAACGCUGGCGGUAGGCCUAACACAUGCAAGUCGAACGGCAGCACAGUAAGAGCUUGCUCUUACGGGUGGCGAGUGGCGGACGGGUGAGGAAUACAUCGGAAUCUACUUUUUCGUGGGGGACAACGUAGGGAAACUUACGCUAAUACCGCAUACGACCUACGGGUGAAAGCAGGGGAUCUUCGGACCUUGCGCGAUUGAAUGAGCCGGUGUCGGAUUAGCUAGUUGGCGGGGUAAAGGCCCACCAAGGCGACGAUCCGUAGCUGGUCUGAGAGGAUGAUCGGCCACACUGGAACUGAGACACGGUCCAGACUCCUACGGGAGGCAGCAGUAGGGAAUAUUUGGCAAUGGGCGAAAGCCUGAUGCAGCCAUACCGCGUGAGUGAAGAAGGUCUUCGGGUUGUAAAGCCCUUUUGUUGGGAAAGAAAAGCAGCAGGUUAAUACCCCGCUGUUCUGACGGUACCCAAAGAAUAAGCACCGGCUAACUUCGUG
rnacentral:rRNA from 1 species